rnacentral:lncRNA from 1 species
ACAGAGGUACCCAAUUGAGUCCCUGCUCUCUACUGAGCCUCGUGGGGCUCCAAAGGAAGCAUCCUGGCCUUUGGGUUGUACAUACACGGAUGAGAAAAUAAGAGCAGCACACAUCAAGCAUCAGUUCCAUGCUCAACUCUCCUGGAGUCCAGAAAAUGGAGCAAUCAAACGGUCUGGCAUAGAGAGAGGUUCCCAUGGAGGAGUUAUUGAGGUCGCAGUGAAUGAGAAGAAUUUAUGAGCAAGGGAGAGGAGGGUCAUUCCUGAUCACAAGGCUAGACUGUGAAAAAGCUCCUGGAUGGAGUCAGCAGGACAUGGGAGGGAUAUUCAUUCUUUUUAUAUUUUUAAGGAUCUAAAAUUUAUUUAUACACAGUUUGUUCAACAGUGUAAACUUUGUGUGGAGUAUGCUCAUGAUUCCCAUUCUGCAUACGAAGAAGCUGAGGCUCUAGGGUGGUCCGUUUGCUUGAAAUCAUAAUAGAAGAAUGAGGGGGAACAUUCAUUCCUAUUCUUUUGAGAUUUUUUGUUUUCUCCUUAGAACUUGGAAGAAGCUGCCUGAAGUUGAGAACGUGCCAAACAUUAACCUUAAUAAUGCUGUGAACUCUCCAAACGUAAGCUAUAUCCUCUGGCAAGCGCACGGGGACUCGGUUACUCAGCUGAACUACUAUGAUUCUAUCAAAGCUGUCAUUUCAAGCUCCAACCACGAGCCCACUGCUCUAGUCAUCGGUACUGCUUGCCCUUCUCUUAAGUUUCCCGUGUUCCCUUUUUGUGUGUCAGACCCUUGACUUUCUCCCACCUUUAGAAUUUCUACAUUGCAGCAGGCAUCCCACACUUGGAUAAUAACUCCCAGUGAAGCUCAAAAUGGGACAUCCUCCCACUGCUGAGUUUUAUAAGCCUCACUCUCGGCUGCCGGGGAGGCAGAGGGAGGGUGGGCAGGCCUAUCCCAGCCUUCGCUCAUACCCAGAGCUCAAUCCAUAUUUGUAUUUGUUGG